rnacentral:tRNA from 1 species
GGUAAGAUGGCUGAGUAUAGGCGAUAAAUUGUAAAUUUAUUAACAAGGAUUUUUCCUUUUUUAUCA